CUACGUAGGGGGCGAGCGUUGUCCGGAAUGAUUGGGCGUAAAGGGCGCGUAGGCGGCCCGGUAAGUCUGGAGUGAAAGUCCUGUUUUUAAGAUGGGAAUUGCUUUGGAUACUGUCGGGCUUGAGUGCAGGAGAGGUAAGUGGAAUUCCCAGUGUAGCGGUGAAAUGCGUAGAGAUUGGGAGGAACACCAGUGGCGAAGGCGACUUACUGGACUGUAACUGACGCUGAGGCGCGAAAGUGUGGGGAGCAAACAGGAUUAGAUGCCCUGGUAGUCCACACUGUAAACGAUGAAUACUAGGUGUAGGGGGUAUCGACUCCCUCUGUGCCGCAGUUAACACAAUAAGUAUUCCGCCUGGGGAGUACGGCCGCAAGGUUGAAACUCAAAGGAAUUGACGGGG
rnacentral:rRNA from 1 species